CAGAAUCUCUCUCCUGCCCUCCUUUCACCUGCCCCAAGGCAGGAUUCCAUCUUCUCCCACCUUUCCAACUGUGGGUCUUAAGACUUUUCAGAGAGGGUCCUGCCAUACACACUGGGGGAAGGAAUGCUGACGUCAUGAAGCUUCCAUGAAAACUCAAGAGGACUGAGUUCAGAGAGCUUCCGGAUAGCUGAAAACAUGGAGGUUCCUGGUUCCUGGAGGGUGGCGCCCCAGGCAUGGAAGCUCUGAGCCCCUUCCUCCGCACCUCAUCUCUUCAUCUGUAUCCUUUGUAAUAUCCUUUAUUAUAAAACAGCAAAUGUGUUUCCCUGAGUUCUGUGAGCCACUCCAGCAAAUCAAUCAAACCCAAAGAGGGGGUCAUGGGAACCCCAACUUGAAGCUCAAUCAGAAUUUCCCAAGGCCCAGAUUUGCAACUGAUAUCUGGGGGUGAGGGUGGUCUUGGGGUCUGAGCCCUCAAUCUGUGGGAUCUGAUGCUACCUCCAGAUAGAUAGUGAAGGAACUGGGUGGAGGUCCUGGCUUGUGUCUGCCUCUUGGUGGUGGGGAGAAGUUCCCACACAUAUGGUCACAGGAGUCUUCUGUGUUGAUGAUUGCUGUUGUGGUGUGAGAGCAGAGGAAAAACACAGUUUGAGAGAGUUUUCCCAAAAUACCAUAAGAAGCCCGUGAUGUCGGUUUGUCCUAUUAUUGGUGAUACCAAUUUUGGCCACUUGGUUAAGUGGCAUGUGUGAGGUUUUUUCAUUGUAAAACUGUUAUUUCCUUUUUGUAAUUAAUAUGAGACACUUUGAGACUACGCGGAUAUCCUCUCCCUCAUCAAACUUUUCUCCACCAACUUUAGCAUCUGGUUGCCACCCUCCAAAAUGGCCCCAGUGAUCCCAUCUCCUAAUAAGUACAUGUCUGUGUGGUCCUCUCCCACACUGCAUAGGAAUGGCUUACGUAACCAAUAGGUAGUUGAGGAUGUGAUGCAGUCUGACUUUUGAGGCUAAGUUGUAAAGAAAGACACUGUGUCUUCCUCCUUGUUGUCUUGGAGCGCUUGCUCUGGAGAAGCCAGAGGUCAUGUCGUGAGGAUACUCAAGUUGCCAUUUGGAGAGGUGCACAUGGUGAAGAAAUGAGGCCUACUGCCAAUGACCAGAAAUGAAGAGAGAAAGAAACACGAGCAAAUAAACAGAACUGAUAAUGCAUUAAAAGAAAAGAUGAAAAAAUAUGAGGCUAUAAAAGAGACGUGUGGUACAGGAUAACGGUCACCCAAAGAUGUCCCCAUCCUAAUCUCCAGAACCUGUGCCUGUGUCACCUGACAUGGCAAAGUGACAGCAAAUGUGACUACCUUAUGGAUCUCAAGAGAGAAGCCUGAUCCUGGAUCAUCUGGCUGAGUCCAGCCUAAUUGCAUGGGUCCUUAACAGUGGAGAGUCGACUGCAGUGGUAUGAAGGAAAUGCAGCUAUGGAAGAAACGGUCUGAGAAAUGGUACAUUGCUGGCUUUGUGGAUGGAGGAAAGUGGUCAUGAGCCAAGGGAUGUGUACUACCUCUAGAAGCUGGAAAAGGGAAGAAAACAGAUUUGCCCUAAAGCCUCCAGAAUGAAAUCCAGACCUACUGACACCCUGGUUUUAGCUCAGUGAGACCCAUGGUGGGCUUCUGAAGGCAAAAUUGUAAGAUAAUAAAUGUGUUAAGACACUAAAUUUAUGGUGAUAUGCUACACAGUGGUAGAAAAUUAGUACAAGAUGAAAAAGAUUUAAAAGGAAAUGACAGAUAUACAUAUAUAGGAAACAGGCAAGGAAGACCCUGUACACAUGGGUACACGUGCAUGCGCACACACACACAGAUAUAUUAG
rnacentral:lncRNA from 10 species